AGUGAACGCUGGCGGUAGGCCUAACACAUGCAAGUCGAACGGCAGCACAGUAAGAGCUUGCCCUUACGGGUGGCGAGUGGCGGACGGGUGAGGAAUACAUCGGAAUCUACUUUUUCGGGGGGGAUAACGUAGGGAAACUUACGCUAAUAUAGCAUACGACCUACGGGUGAAAGCAGGGGAUAUUCGGACCUUGCGCGAUUGAAUGAGCCGAUGUGGUAUUAGUUAGUUGGCGGGGUAAAUGCCCACCAAGGCGGCGAUCCGUAGCUGGACUGAGAGGAUGAUCGGCCACACUGGAGCUGAGACACGGUCCAGACGCCUGCGGUAGGGAGCAGUCUGGAAUGUUAGACAACAGGCGCGAGCCUGAUCCAGCCAUACCGCGUGGGUGAAGAAGACCUUCGGGUUGUAAAGCCCUUUUGUUGGGAAAGAAAAGCAGCAGGUUAAUACCCCGCUGUUCUGACGGUACCCAAAGAAUAAGCACCGGCUAACUUCGUG
rnacentral:rRNA from 1 species